AGUGAACGCUGGCGGUAGGCCUAACACAUGCAAGUCGAACGGCAGCACAGAGGAGCUUGCUCCUUGGGUGGCGAGUGGCGGACGGGUGAGGAAUACAUCGGAAUCUACUCUGUCGUGGGGGAUAACGUAGGGAAACUUACGCUAAUACCGCAUACGACCUACGGGUGAAAGCAGGGGAUCUUCGGACCUUGCGCGAUUGAAUGAGCCGAUGUCGGAUUAGCUAGUUGGCGGGGGAAAGGCCCACCAAGGCGACGAUCCGUAGCUGGUCUGAGAGGAUGAUCAGCCACACUGGAACUGAGACACGGUCCAGACUCCUACGGGAGGCAGCAGUGGGGAAUAUUGGACAAUGGGCGCAAGCCUGAUCCAGCCAUACCGCGUGGGUGGAGAAGGCCUUCGGGUUGUAAAGCCCUUUUGUUGGGAAAGAAAUCCAUCUGGUUAAUACCCGGGUGGGAUGACGGUACCCAAAGAAUAAGCACCGGCUAACUUCGUGCCAGCAGCCGCAGUAA
rnacentral:rRNA from 1 species